AACAGGUACAAUCCACACUAAUGCUCUCCCUCCGCCUUCCCCUGGGUAAUUAUCUGACCUCCAGGUAAACAUGUGCAGGGGUGUGUCCAGAGAUUGGCGGCAUCAGGGAUAACGCCGCAUCCUGUGACAGGUGAACACACCUGCCAGGACAUGUUUUUGUAUUAUACCUUCAUGCAGCUCGUUUUACACUAUAGAUUUAGAGGAUGCAUAUUAUUUAAUAAUACAAGUUGCACGUUUUUCUUACACAAUUUCAGUCUUACUUUAACUGUUUCACCUAACUUCAAUUUUACUUUCCUUGUUUUUUUAUCACUGUUGUAAAUACAUAAAUUCCUGCACUAUCUCAUAGUAUGAGGCCCGGGCGUGUGUGGUAACUGUGUUGUUUAUUGUUGUGUAUUGUAGACUGUUCUAUUUUUACUCUUUAUCAUGCUACAAAACUUUCCCCUGUGGGAUCAAAGUAUCUAACUUACUAUCUAUUAUACUACAACUGCAGAAUAACAAUACUGAUAAGAUGGUGUGUCAGCUGUUUAUAAAAUCUCAGUAACGCAUCCUGAGGCUGGUUAUGUUGGCAAAUUUGACCAGACUGACAAAAACUAAGGAUGUUUCCUGUUUAUUUUCAUUUGUACUUUUAAGAAAGUUUAAAUUCAAAGAAAGGUUUCAGACAUACUUUUAAGUUCUGUUUUAGUUCACUGUAAUAAGAUAGUACCACACCCCCUGAAAUAUAAUUACCCGGUUUUAAUGUACAUGUGCUUUAUUUAGUACAAGCCCAGUUCCCGAAAAAAGAUGUGGGUCACUGUGUAAAAUGUAAAUUAAAAACAGAAUGUAAUGUUCAACAGUCCACAAAAAUCUGGGAACUGAGGAGAGCAGCUGAAGGAUUUUUGGGGAGAUGAAUGUUGUCUCAUUCUUGUCAGGUAGAGGACCAUAGCUGCUCAACAGUCCUGGUUCAGCUUUGUCACAUGUUUCAUGUCAUGAUCCUUCAAAUGUUCACAGCUGUUCAAAGCUCUGAACUGCAGACAGGUCAGUUCAGCACUCGGACUCUUCUACUAUGAAGCCAUGCUGCUAGAAGAGCUGCAGUAUUUGAUUAAGCAUUGUCUUAUUGAAAUAUGCGUCUGGAUCCAAAUGUAUGUUCCUCUAAAAGCUCUGCAUACCUUUUAGCAUUGAUGGUACCUUUCUAUCAUCUUUGAAUGAUAGAGCUUUAACCUGCGUUUGUGAACAGCGUAGUGAACUGUUUUCACGGACAGGGUUUCUGCAAGUGUUUAUGGCUGUUUUGAUGCAGUGCAGUGCUCCAUGAGGCAUCCCAUACUGAUUUUCAGCCCUCCUUAUGCACAGAUUUCUCCAGGUUAUGUUAAAAAUAUUAUGUAGUGUAGCUCAUUAGAUGUUGUACUUCAUACCAUUUACUUUAUAGCUUUAAUUUAAUUGCAUUAUUUAAAAUUACCUGGCAGUAAAGAAGUAAUCAAAGUCAUGUCCUGUUGCAACAUUAAAUUGAUACCCUGUGCAUUCAGUUAUGAAAUGUAGAUGAUUCUGCACAAUAUGUACUUUAAGUAUAAAAUUAGUUACUUUGAGUAUACUAUCCUGCUAUUAAGUAGCACAAUAGAAUAAAAAAUAUCAGAAGACAGUCAAUGAAAGUUAAAAAGAAAUCCUGUGAAAUAUUAAUUUUACUAUUAGAAUUUAAGUUUUAGUUUUUUAGCUCAUUAUAUGGAUUUUUUGAUUGCUGGUUGAACACUAGGUACAAAACAAGCAAUAAAAUCUUCCAGUGUGCUGUAUUUUAAUUUGUAACUUUGUAACUGAGACAAAAGAUUUGCGUAUCUCAAAUCCAUAAAAUCCUUCAAGCGCUUCAGUUUUAGUUCUUCAACCCUGGUGUGAGCAGUUUGCAGAGUGAAUGAAUCACUGGGGUAUGUAGUGAAGUGAGGUUAAAGGGCUUUUCAUGCAAUGAUGCUUCCCCCUGCUGGAUCAUUUGUAAAGUAGUGACCAGAGUCAACAGAGCUGCCAUUUUUUAACCUUUCUUUAACCUGUCUUUCUAUUGGAUACAAAAAUACUUACAAAGGUGCACAACUAUCCUCCAUAACUUUCUUCUAUUCCUGCACACUAGCCUGUGUGUAACGCUGUGUGAGACUGUUACAUCGUUUCAAAGUCGGUUUAUUGUCUUGUAAGUGUAUAUGUCACGUAAUGUACUUGAAAAUAACGCCGCACAAACUUCAAGCAGUUAUUUCCUGCACCCAGUCUCUUUCCUGAAUCGUUUAGCUGCCACAGAAAUAGAUUUAUGUUCAGGAAAGAUGGUGAAUCUCGGUGAACUUCAAUAAGAACUGACAACGGUUUUAGACCCUGAAACUGUAAUGUUUACAGUGUGUUUUCUGCUAAGUGGAUAAAGGAUCAUGGUACAGAAUAUCGUCAUAGCUUCAUAGUUUGAUAUCCAGAAACUGCCCAAAGAAAAAGAAAUCCAAAAGGUCACAAUAUCCAGGGAAAACUCGAGAGAAGGAAAACAGACACGAAACAAAAUAUAAACAUUUCAGGACAGAAUCAAAAAGAAAAAGGGGAAAAUGAAGCCAUGUAUACACACGUAUACACUACUCAAGGAUGUGAUCACAGCCAAGGAACAACACACAGAUGCAAAGAAUCAAGGAAUAGGAUAAGGGGAAGUACAAAUAAAUACAGUUAAACUAAAAACAAUUAACUACCAAAAUAAAACAGGAAGCAACAACAUGAAAACCAGAUUACCAGAAGUACUAAAACAUAUUACUGAGGACACUAAUAGACUAUGAGAGGACGGACAUACAGAAAUGUAAGUGGUCCAGGACCUUGACAGCAUCCACGGUGAACAUAAAUGAGCUGCAUUACCCCAAAGAUGUAACCGUGAGGAUGCAAGGAGCAGAAAUACUGAAGGUGAACAAGUUUAAGUACCUGGGGUCAACCAUCCAAAGCAACAGGCGAUGCACAGGAGAGGUGAAGAAGAGAGUGCAGGCAGGGUGGAGUGGGUGGAGACGAGUGAAAGGGAAAGUUUGCAACAUGGUAGGGAGACCUGCCAGGAGGUAUGGUUUGGAGUUAGUGGCAGGAGGUGUAGAUAUAAAGAACAUGCAGACGAUUGGUAUGACAGAGGAGGAUGCUAGGGACAGGGUGACAGAUAAAUCCAAAGAUGACCACACUUCAAUAAAAACCGAGACUUCGAUCGAUGCACGAGAAGGAGAAGCACACUUUUUUUCUUUUUAUAAUGUGUACCUACCUUCUCUUGUAUCUUCAGUAACAAUGUAUCUUCUGUGUAUUUAUUGUUUAUUAUUUACUAUUUCACUCCUAUCGCCUGUUCUUAUUGUCCUUAUCUUCAACGUAUGCUGCUCGGUUGUUUUUUAAUUGCCCCUUAGGGAUAAAUAAAGUCUUCUGAUUCUGAUGCCGACAAUGUUAUACCUUCAGAUUUCCCUGUUAGAAAAAGCCAAUUAAUUGCUUCCAUUUAACACUACAACUCAACCAGUAUUUUCAAUGUUUUUCGACUCAAUAAUAAAGCCUUUCUCUGAAAAGCCUUCAGCUGAUCCAACAUGCUUCCUAAUCCCUGACAGGGAUUAGGAAGAGAGAACAUAUUUCUCCCAUACCGGCUUCUCUUCAUUGGUUCCCUGUUAAAUCCAGAAUCCAAUCUAAAAUCCUGCUUCUCACACACAAGUUCUUGAAUAAUCAGUCCCCAUCUUACCUUAAUUACCUUAUAGUACCAUAUCACCCCAUUAGAGCACUUCGCUCUCGCACUGCAGGCUUACUUGUUGUUCCUAGAGUAUUUAAAAGUAGAAUGGGAGGCAGAGCCUUCAGUUUUCAGGCCCCUCUGCUAUGGAACCAGCUUCCAGUUUGGAUUCAGAAGACAGACACUAUCUCUACUUUUAAGAUUAGGCUUAAAACUUUCCUUAUAUAACAAUCCUAAUUCACUUGCUUGAUCACGUAACAUAUAAAUUAACACAUUAGUACACUGUGCAGAUAAUAACAGACACAAUUACAUAGACUUUAUCAGAAAAACAAUGUCAAUGGUCAAUGGUGGUCAAUGGUAACUUUAUUGUCCCUAACGGGAAAUUGAUUUGCAGUAUGUCCGUACAAACAAACAAAGAGACAACCAACACAUCACAUACACUCACCAAAAUAAUAUAAUAUAAGCCUGAUAAAAAUAAACAUAUUUUACCUUAACAAAGAUAUAUAAUUGGAGUAAAAUGAAGAUAAACAAUUAGCAUAAACUGAACAGUUGACCUCAUUCAGUCUUUUGAGUAUACCAUGGGUUUCAUAACAUACUUUCAUAGUACUUUCAGACAUGCGGCUUAGGUACAAGGUGAUAUAGAGAUUAAAAAGCUUUUUUUAUUUCUCUGUCUCUCUCUCAUGCUCACUUUGUUCUUUUUGUCUUGUCCCAUUUUCCAGCACAUGCUGCUCCUUUUUCUCCAAACUUCUAACACAGAAAAUGUUGUAGUCAUUUAGUUUCCUUUAAAAAGUGUUAACUCAGUUAAAGGUUUUCAUGAAGUUAUCACUGUUGCCUCACAGCAAAAAAAGGUCCUGAGUUCGACUCUACCAGCUGGCUGGAGUCCUUUCUGUGUGGAGUUGCAUGUUCUCCCUGUGUUUGCGUGGGUUCUCUCCAGGUACUCCAGCUUCCUUCCACAGUCCAAUGGCAUGCAGUUGGUGGGGUUAAGUUGACUGGUGAUUCUAAAUUGCUCAUAGGUGUGAAUGUGAGCAUGAAUGGUUGUUGGAUUCUCUGUGUUAGCCCUGCAACAGACUGGCGAUGUGUCCAGGAUGUACCCUUCCUCUCACCCUGUGGUAGCUGGGAUAGCCUCCAGUACCCCAUUCCCCAGCUCAACCCUGACAAGGACAAUAACUGAAUAAACU